rnacentral:miRNA from 1 species
AAGGAUUCUACACAGAGUCUCUGAGAGAACAUGGCCCUGACAACAUCUUUAUUUUGGACUUCUAGCCUCUAGAACUCUGAGACAAUAAAUUUCUGUUGUUUUUAGCCACCCAGUUUAUGGUACUUUGUUAUGGCAGCCCUUGGAA